UACGUAGGGUGCAAGCGUUGUCCGGAAUUAUUGGGCGUAAAGAGCUCGUAGGCGGUCUGUUGCGUCGGCUGUGAAAACCCGAGGCUCAACCUCGGGCCUGCAGCCGAUACGGGCAGACUAGAGUUCGGCAGGGGAGACUGGAAUUCCUGGUGUAGCGGUGAAAUGCGCAGAUAUCAGGAGGAACACCGGUGGCGAAGGCGGGUCUCUGGGCCGGAUAACUGACGCUGGAG
rnacentral:rRNA from 1 species